AUAAAAUAUCCCAAUGGUGAAAUUUCCAACAUUUAUAAGUCUAAGGAAUUUUGAGGUUUACAGAGUCAAGUCCAUAAAACUGGAUCCUGUUUGGCCUGUGUAGUCAAGGAAAGCCCCUGGGGCUUUUUCCUUGAGAUACAGCUUGCUGACAGCUCUCAUCCAUUGCUUAUUAUCCCUAGCCUACCCUCUCCCUGUUCCCUUUGCUGCUUCUCCAUUCUUUCCCUCACUGUCUUCCUAGAUCAUAUCUCUUUUAUUUUGGGGAUACAACAGUCUAGGUCUAUCACAUCAUCUAAAAACAGAGAAGUAUAGAUAUUUUGACACAAAAUUUGAAGUCAGGUUUUUCUCACUCUUAGUCCAACACUAAUCACUAUGGAAUGUCAGGCAUUGCAUUCAUCGAUGUUGCCAAAACACAUUCCAAAAUGUCCUACCAUGGCCUUCAUGCCCAGGAUCAUGUUCACACUUCUUUCAUAUUCUCUCCCCAUUACAAAAGGUGGCUAGCAGACCUCAGAUUUGUCACUGUCCUGGCCAGUCUCACUUGGCUUUCCUGGAUACAAAUGGGAGGCUAAUGGUUCCUUACCUUAAACUUCCCAACCGAGACCCAGUGUCAGAGUGCAAGAUCUACCAAAAUAAUGAGGAAAAAGGUCAAAGAAGCUGAAAUAUUUGGAACUUAUUCCUAUCAAUUUGGAAAUUAAUUUUAAGACAACUGGAACUGGAUGACCAAGGAAGGAAGCCUGUCAAUGCUCCCGGAUGUGCCCGAGGGAUUGCUCUGGCACACACACCUCUCUCAGUGGCAAGGCCUCACUUCCAACUAGAGAUGAGGAAAGAGCUCCCCUUGGGCCAUGAAGGCUCAGGGAAAAUUAGUCACAAUUAGCUUAGAUUCCCAGAAUAAAACCAUAUCUGAGCUUGAAGAUCACCUUCAACAUUCUCAUUCUCAUCUUGUAGGGCAAGAAACACCUAAGGAAAUGGAAGAACCCAAAGCAGGGAAUUCGAGAAUCUUCUGUAAAGGCGCCACUGUCCAAACCUACCAUUGUUACCUCCAACAAUACUGCAGUGGAGACCAAGGACUUCUCAUUGACAUGCCAGGCUACAGGUCAAAUUCACGCUUACCGGUGGUUCAUAAAUGGACUUGCCCCAUCUGGUAGCAGGAUACAGCUGUCCCCGGAUAAGAAGAUACUCACUAUCGGCAAUCUUACAAGAAGGGAAAACAAAGGACCCUAUGUGUGUGAAAUCGAGAACCCAUUGUUUCGGAAUAGGAGUGAUCCAUUCACACUGGAUGUUGCCUGUGAGUAAAUUUGUUCUUCCUAUAAGGUGCCUGCUUAUAGCUUGGUGGUGUGUUCCUAGAGGCCAGGCUAA
rnacentral:lncRNA from 1 species